AUGAUUCAAACCCAGUCAGUCUGGUGCCAGUAUCUGUGGGUAUCACCGCUACACUACGCCAAGCAGCUGCUGGGAACCUGGCAGUCGAGGGGAUGUGGGACACUGCUGCCUGUGUGCAUAUACAGAUGUGGCCACUUGAAAAAACCUGAGAAGCAAGCUAGGCAGCAAAAUUUGAGUGAAAGACCAGCUUUUCAAGGACUCUGCGAUGAAGAUGAAUCACAGAAUUACGGAGUGUUUCCAUUGUGCUCCAUUUGUCCCACCCAUGGAAGUAGCAACUCACUGAUCUGUUUGGAAAAAGGAACUGGGCAUUCCUAAGAUGGCUUGUCUCCAGGAAGCCUGCGAUCCCUACAUUAUGCCAAGGACUGCUGUGGUUGUCUCCUUCCCUGGUUCUGACACAAGAGCUGAGAAAAAAGGGGUGUGUACAUGCGAUUGCCAUCUUCUCCAGGCAUCCUGUUCCAAUGGAUACAAGACUCAGGAUGCAGGGAUAAAAAUCAGGCGACUGCUUCCAAUCCCACAACAAAUGUCACCCAUCUCUUCCAACAAAAAACUUAACUCAAAAUGACACUUGCUUGUCAAAUCUGAAUUAGGCAUUUUCACUCUAACUGGAGUGAGUAUAUCAAUCCCCUGGGGGAAAACUGGAGCUCUGGAGAGGAUUCAGAUUCAGCAAACAGUUUUUGCUUGUCUGCUGUGUCUCAGGUAGGCACUGUAUUGUGUGUGUGUGUGUGUGUGUGUGUGUGUGUUUAAUUUCUAUUCCCACUUGCAUAGUACAGAUGAGGAAAGCAGGGACUUGCCCCCUCAACAGCCAGCUAGUGGAAAGGUCAGGUUUCUAACCUAGGUUUUACAGCCCCAGGUCCAGGUCCACUGUUCCUUGCAUUUAGACUAUAGAUGCCACUCCAGGCGCAAGCCCAGGCCACCUCUUCCCAGGAUAUUACAGACCACAUCGGGUUUUCUCCUCUCUGAACACCAGCAGUGUGGCCACAUGUUCACUUCACCUGCAGAAGCUGCCAGGCUCGAGAGUUGUGUCUUGUUCUUUCCACCCACUGAUAGGAUGCUGGGCGUGUAGGAAAGCAACCGUUUACUGGGAGCACUGAACAGUCUCAAAGCCUUCUCAUACAUACUGUCCCCAUAGCUCUGUAACACGAGAUAGAUGAGCUUUUUUUGCCCUGGUGGGGGAGAGGAGAGUAGUGGGAGGGAGGGAGGAAGCCGAAGGAAAUUAAUGAGUGACUUAGGAUUCAUCCCUAAAGGACCAAAGCAUGGAGGAGCCUGAUUUAUGAGAGUUAGACAAGGUUGAUGGUUGGCUGGGAAAAUUGAGAGAUUAACUUUAUGUCUUGAGUACCUACUGGAUGCCAGACAGUCCAUUAGUAGGUUGUUAUGAACAUUAUCUCACUUAAUGCAAUCCUGUAAUCUCUGCAAUUAUAUUUUUAAUGGACUUCAGUGCACAAAACUGAACUAAUCUUUUUAAUACUUUAUUCAUACUAUUCUAUUGGUCCAUGCUUGGGUCUUAAUUAUUUUUCUCAGUCAUUUAUUUUAGUGAUGCGAUGAGUACCUUGGAACCUACAUCUAACCCAAGAACUAGAACACUAAUGGUAAUUCACCUCUAUUCAGGUGCUCCUUCCCUACGCUGUUGCAAAUGAAAAUAAUGUACCAGCCCUCUCCUGUAGUUAAUUUUCAUAAGAGGAUAUUAAGAAUUCCUGGCUUAGACUGUCCUGUCCAUAAACCCUCAGCAAAAUAAAUAAGUUUAUCUGCUUGAUUAAGAAAACUCC
rnacentral:lncRNA from 12 species